CGUAGGGCGCAAGCGUUGUCCGGAAUUAUUGGGCGUAAAGAGCUCGUAGGCGGUUUGUCGCGUCUGCUGUGAAAGCCCGGGGCUUAACCCCGUGGUGUGCAGUGGGUACGGGCAGACUAGAGUGCAGUAGGGGAGACUGGAAUUCCUGGUGUAGCGGUGAAAUGCGCAGAUAUCAGGAGGAACACCGAUGGCGAAGGCAGGUCUCUGGGCUGUUACUGACGCUGAGGAGCGAAAGCAUGGGAGCGAACAGGAUU
rnacentral:rRNA from 1 species